rnacentral:rRNA from 1 species
GGUUGCGAUCAUACCAGCACUAAUUCACCAGAUCCCAUCAGAACUCCGCAGCUAAGCAUGCUUGGGCGAGAGUAGUACUAGGAUGGGUGACCCCAUGGGAAGUCCUCGUGUUGCAACCC